UUGGCAUAUCAUAAGUUCAACAAAACUCUACUUCAGAAGUAGAAAAAACCAUGACUACAAGAAAGCAUUGCUAACCAACAAGAUUUAUGGUCUAUUACUGUUUUGAGUUGGUAGCAUUUCUAACAGAGUUCCAAAUUUGGACAACCGAUUCUGCAACACGAGGGAGCACUUGAAGAAGGCCACCAGAGGCCAUCCCGAUGGCGAGGGUUUGAGGGUAGCCUGGCUUGGAAUCAACUUUCAUGUCAAGGCUGAGCAGUCGAGCAUUGAUAACAUCGAGUUUUCUAGAGGUUUCAGAUGACACAUUCCUAUUAUUAUUGCGAUUCUUGUCAUUUCGAGAGGUGCUGAUCACCCUGAAAAGAGCACCCUGGAGAUCCUCAAUGACCUUAUAGGAAGCUUCUUGAGAGUCAACGCCUUGUGAUUCAUAGUGUGAUACAAGCUCUCUCGCGCUUGGCAACUUUCUUGUCACCUUCUUUUUGCUGCUCUCAUUAUUGUUGGUGGAUGCCGUAGUAUCAGUCUCUUUUAUCUCCUCCUUCUCAUUUCGAAUUGGUUGUGAUGGUUUUGCCAUUACCUUUUUGCUUUUUCCCUCGGUUUCUCUCUGAUUUCCACUGUUUCAGAUUAAGCCUGCCAAGACGCUUGCCGGAAAGUUGGCCGGAG
rnacentral:misc_RNA from 1 species